rnacentral:rRNA from 1 species
UGGGGAAUAUUGCGCAAUGGGGGAAACCCUGACGCAGCAACGCCGCGUGAAGGAUGAAGGUUUUCGGAUCGUAAACUUCUUUGAUGAGGGACGAACAAAAUGACGGUACCUCAAAAACAAGCCACGGCUAACUACGUGCCAGCAGCCGCGGUAAUACGUAGGUGGCGAGCGUUGUCCGGAAUUACUGGGUGUAAAGGGCGUGUAGGCGGGGAUGUAAGUCAGAUGUGAAAUUCCAUGGCUCAACUGUGGGGCUGCAUCUGAAACUAUGUCUCUUGAGUGCCGGAGAGGGAAGCGGAAUUCCUAGUGUAGCGGUGAAAUGCGUAGAUAUUAGGAGGAACACCAGUGGCGAAGGCGGCUUUCUGGACGGUAACUGACGCUGAGGCGCGAAAGCGUGGGG